GACGAACCGUGCGAACGUUGUUCGGAAUCACUGGCUUAAAGGGCGCGUAGGCGGCCGGCCAAGUCGGGGGUGAAAGCCUGUGGCUCAACCACAGAAUGGCCCUCGAUACUGGCUGGCUCGAGACCGGAAGAGGUUGGUGGAAUUGCGAGUGUAGAGGUGAAAUUCGUAGAUAUUCGCAAGAACACCGGUGGCGAAGGCGGCCAACUGGUCCGGAUCUGACGCUGAGGCGCGAAAGCGUGGGGAGCAAACAGG
rnacentral:rRNA from 1 species